ensembl:lncRNA
UCCGAUUGGCGAAACGGAAGGGGGCGGAGCGAAACAACCGCAUUGGCGGCCGGGAGGGAGCGGAAGCGGCGGGGGAGGGACUUCCGGCGGCAAGAUGUCGGCGCUGGGGAGGGCGAUUCGGUCGUGGCGGGGUCCGUGGGGAGCGCGGGGGAGGAGCGCGGGAAGCGGAGCCGUCGUGGCGGCGCCGCGGGAAACGAUCGGAGCGCAUCGGGAGGAGGAAACGUGGGAGGAGGCGCAGCGGAAGGUGGGCGGGGCCUGGAGGAGGGGGCGGGGCCUGAGGGUGGCCUAUUGAAGGGGGCGUGGUAUUGGGAAGGGGCGGGCCUGAGGGAAGGGGGCGUGGUCUGUGGAAGGGGCGGGGCCUGUGGGGGCUAUGCGCGGGAGGGGGCGGGAUCUGCGAGGUGAUUGGCUGCGAAGGGGUGGUAUGAUAAUGAGGGGGCGGGGCGUCGGGUGGCUGCUGUUGGGCUAUGGGGCCCGGCCCAGUGCCUCCCAGUUCAUCCCAGUUCAUCCCAGUAAGUCCCAGUGCCCUCCCAGUAUGGGCUCACAUCUCUCAUUCCUGCUCCCAGUGCCUCCCAGUUUAUCCCAGUAACUCCCAGUUCAUCCCAGUGCAUCCCAGUUCACCCCAGUUCAUCCCAGUAACUCUGAGUGCCCUCCCAGUAUGGCCUCACAUCCCCCAUUCCUGCUCCCAGUUCAUCCCAGUAACUCCCAGUUCAUCCCAGUGCCCUCCCAGUCCCUCCCAGUUCAUCCCAGUUCAUCCCAGUAUCUCCCAGUGCCCUCCUAGUAAGGCCACACAUCCCCUAUCCCUGCUCCCAGUCUCUCCCAGUUCAUCCCAGUUCAUCCCAGUAUCUCCCAGUUCCUCCCAGUGCAUUCCCAGUAAGGCCCUACAUGCCCAAUCCCUGCUCCCAGUUCAUCCCGGUGUCUCCCAGUUCAUCCCAAUUCAUCCUAGUCCCUCCCAGUGCUUCCCAGUACCAUCCCAGUGCCCUCCCAGUAAGGCCCUACAUCCCCAAUCCUGGCUCCCAGUUCAUCCCAGUUCAUCCCAGUGCAUCCCAGUGCAUCCCAGUGCCUCCCAGUAUGGGUUCACAGCCCCCAUUCCUGCUUCCAGUCCCUCUCAGUGUCUCCCAGUUCAUCCCAGUACCUUCCAGUGCCCCCCAGUCCAUCCCAGUUGCUCUCAAUUCCCUCCCAGUUCACCCCAGUUCCAUCCCAGUUCCCACCCAGUCCCUCCCAGUUACCCCCAAUUCCCUCCCAGUCCGCCCCAGUUCCCUCCCAGUCCACCCCAGUUCCAUUCCAGUUCCAUCCCAGUCCACCCCAGUUCCCACCCAGUUCCUCCCAGUUCCAUUCCAGUUCCCUCCCAGUCCCUCCCAGUUCUCCCCAUUGCCCAGACUGACACCGAGGGGCGUGGCCAAAUGAAAGGGGGCGUGGCUUAAGGAAAGGGGGCGUGGCCUAAGACAGAAGGGCGGAGCCUAAGGCCACCCUAACCAAUGAGGGGCGGAGUCUAAUACACCAAGGGGGCGUGGUCAUAAGAAGGGGGCGUGGCCAACUGACACUGGGCGGUGCUCAGUGAUUGGGUGGGGUCCGAAUGAGGGGCGUGGUCACAGCGUGUGGGCGGGGCUAAAGGGUGUGGGCGGGGCUUAAUGGGAAGACAUUUGGGGGGGUUACGUUGCGUUUUUGUAACUUUUCCCUUUUAAUUUUUUUAUUCUUUCCUUUUUUCUUCUUUUUCUGCCAUCAUUUUCUUCCACCUCUUUUCCCAUUUUGUUAUUUUGUCUGCUGGUUUUGUUUUUUG